CUUCUUGAUACAUUAACACAUGAACAAUUUGUGAGGAUGGCAGUCACACUUUGGGCCAUUUGGACUUCGCGGCGAAAGGCUAUUCAUGAAGGGAUAUUCCAAACACUAGAGGCAUUGGCUUUUGUGGACAGGUUUGUACAGGAAGUCCAAAUAAUGCAGAAGAAAACGCCUAGGAAAACUACUGCAGGUCCGGUACCUACGCGCUCCACCCGACCACCCCAGGGCCAUGCUAAAAUUCGCGUUGAUGCGGCUGUUAGGCCAGGCAGGGGUGGAUCGGCGUCGACUGUGUGUAGAGACAGUGAUGGAAACUAUCGACGAAGCUCUUCCUUGAUAGUACCAGGAGUUUGUGACCCAGUGGUGCUGGAGGCAAUGGCAUGCCGAGAAGCUCUUUCGUUAGCACAAGACAUUCAUCUAUGCAAUCUUGUCAUAGCAUCCGACUCAAAACAAGUGGUAGGAGAGAUCAACCAAGGAAGUCAAGGAAAAAUUGGAGCAAUCCACACUGAGAUGAAAACCAGAGCAGCGGUGUUUAAUUGUAUCUUUAAUUUUAAGGGUCGUGCGGUCAAUGUUGACGCACAUAGUUUAGCUAGAUUUUUGCUUUCUUUAGCUCCGGGUCGUCAUGUCUGAUUUGGCUAACCACAUGACACAAAUUCUAUCCCACUAUUUGUGGACUUUGAUUAA
rnacentral:rRNA from 1 species